GGAUUCCCCUCAGUAAGGGCGACUGAAACGGGAAGAGCCCAGCGCAAAGCCUCGCGCUCCGAUAUCUAAGGGCGCGAGGGGUGCUGCGUUCGGGAGAGGUCCUGCACGCGCUUCCGCACCGCCUAAGUUGUACAUGAAUGACUCUCAUACCCAGGGAGGGUGUUAGGCCCGUGUGGCGGUAUGCAGCCCCUGCGCGCAAGCGCGGGGGAAGGUACGGGAGUGCGGAACGGGCCUCUCCUUAGAGUCGGGUUGCCUGAAACCGCAACCUAAAGUAGGUGGUAAACUCCAUCUAAGGCUAAAUAUGACCACGAGACCGAUAGCGAACAAGUACCGUGAGGGAAAGUUGAAACAGAACCCUGUAGAGAGAGUUCAAGAGAACGUGAAACCGUUAAGAGGCUAAACGGGUGGAGAUUCGAAGAUCGAACUUGGGGGAUUCAGUCUGUCGGUGGCCGGGAGGGGGUUCGCGGCGCUAGGCCGUUGGGCUCUGCCGCAAGGCGGGUCCGCGGUCUUACGCGACCUUCCGACUGCUGUCCGCUCACAAGGCGGGCACGACCGGGGGGCGCGGCCCGUCCCUUCACCCUGGUGCCGGCGGGCGAUCUUCCCCCUGUAGUAGGUCGCCGCGAUGCGUUGGGAGGGCGUCUUGAGGCCCGGGCGGCAGGAACCGACGUCAAAGCUCUCCCCUCUUUCCGGAGGGGUCUGUGGCGGCGUCCGGGGAUCCCCUGGUGUCCUUGUCUUGCGCUCCCGACGAUCUCUCCUUGGGGCCUUCGGCGUCCGCGCCGUCUGCCUUCGCGGCGUGUAAAGUAUCGAUGCUCUACCCGACCCGUCUUGAAACACGGACCAAGGAGUCCAACAUGUAUGCGAGUCAAUGGGCGCACUAAACCCACAGGCGCAAUGAAAGUGAUAACUGGCUCCCCGCAAGGGGGGUUGGGCCGAUCCCUCGAGACUGGGCGGCCGAGGCGCCCGGCCGGAGUGACUUUUUUUCCUCCUCGGGCGCGCGGCCCGUCCGUCCCGCACGCCUCCUCGGCCCAUUCCGGGUCGGGGAGGGGGGCGCAGGUCCGGGACUCGCCAUGACGAACGGAGAAAGCGGCUCGCCGCCGGUACCCGGAUGUGUCGGCGAGUACCUCGAGCAUAAAUGUUGGUACCCGAAAGAUAGUGAACUAUGCCUGGCCAGGAUGAAGCCAGGGGAAACCCUGGUGGAAGUCCGCAGCGAUUCUGACGUGCAAAUCGAUCGUCGGAGCUGGGUAUAGGGGCGAAAGACCAAUCGAACUAUCUAGUAGCUGGUUCCCUCCGAAGUUUCCCUCAGGAUAGCUGGCACUCGCCAAAGACGAGUUUCAUCCGGUAAAGCGAAUGAUUAGGGGUGUUGGGGACGAAAUGUCCUCAGCCUAUUCUCAAACUUUAAAUGGGUGAGGUACCGGGCUUGCUUCUCUGAAGCCCCGGGCACGAAUCGGAGUGCUUAGUGGGCCAAUUUUGGUAAGCAGAACUGGCGCUGUGGGAUGAACCAAACGUCGAGUUAAGGGGCCUAAAUGGAUGCUAAUUCCGAUACCAUUGGAAGGGAGUUGCUUGCUAUAGACAGCAGGACGGUGGCCAUGGAAGUUGGAAUCCGCUAAGGAGUGUGUAACAACUCACCUGCCGAAGCAAGUAACCCUGAAAAUGGCAUGGCGCUCAAGCAUCCUCCCGAUACUCGACCGCCGGGCGCACUAUAGGCUGCAACGAGGAGGUCUCGAGGCCCCGGUGAGUAGGAGGGCGCGGCGGUGAGCGUUGAAGGAUACGGCGCGAGCCGGUCUGGAGCCGCCGCUGGUGCGGAUCUUGGUGGUAGUAGCAAAUAUUCGAGCUAGAAAACCACACCCUCGCUGGCCGAUGCGGAGAAGGGUUCCACGCCAACAUCGCUUGGUCGUGGGUCAGUCGCUCCUGAGCCCUGGGAUAGCAUCCCGAUGUACCAGGUUGCUGGGCUUUCCUGUCCUGAUUCCUUGUACGGCGCGACGCGCGAACGGGCCCCGCCCUCCCAUUAUUGCCAAGGGAGUGGCGGCCGGGCCCCAGUAGCCGUCCGCAGUACUCGGUAAUAUAAUACCUGUCUCCGGCGCUGCUCUGCGCGCCGCAGCUCUCGUCCGAUCGGAGCCCCUCGUUCUUCGCCCUCUCUCCAGCGGGAGAUAGUAGGGGGAAGAGACCUCGUUCCCCCAUCGAUUGAUGAUGAUAUGAUGUCCAAACGAAUUCGUCAUCAUCAUCGUCGGUGGUUGUUGGAAGCCGUAGGAGGAGGAGAGGCGUUCCGAGAGAGAGCACCGCGGCCAGAGGAGCGGCACAUGCCGGGUACAUGCGGGUCCGCCGCGCGUCCCGCACACGCAAGUCAUAUAAUGCAUGUCGACACCUACUUCUCGUCUUUCCCGAGUCGCUUGCAGAAGUGUGCGCCUACAAUGGACAAGGGCGGCGGCGGAGCGGGGGCGAGCGGCCCCGCCAUCCCUCCUUUUGCAUCCCCCCUAUAAGCAUUUUCAUCCAUCAGCCUCAUCCCUUCUCCUCCGAUGCGAGUCGAUGGAGGGUUGUCGUCUGUUUGGUUUGUGGUGUCGGGGGGGUGUUGGAGCGGACGGCGGGCGGCUUGCUCCCGCACCACGAAGAGGAUAAACCGCGAGACGGUGGUGUUUCGCGCGUUUUGCUUUGCUCGUGUUGCUGUCAUCCAAACGGUCUGAA
rnacentral:rRNA from 1 species